CGAGAAAGAAAGGGGAUCGAGUAAAGUAUGAGGACUACUCGUGUGCAAAUAGGAUAAGAUGUAAGAUGAGCAGUGUGAUGGGACGUGUGUCAACCAUCUAGGCGGCUUACGGAGAUGAGAAACCAUCUGGUGAAUUUUAAACUUUUUUCAUAGAAAUUUGGCGUUUGUUGGCGCUUACUUGUGUUAAAAAAAGAAAAAG
rnacentral:lncRNA from 1 species